rnacentral:lncRNA from 1 species
CCAAAGGCAGGCGUGCAGGGCCUUGGCUACUGCGCUAGGUCUGCUGAUGGCCACAAGCCUUUAGUCCCAGCUCUGCCUUAGCAGUGGGGGUGUCUGAAGGCUCAGGGGAUACACAGGUCCUCUAGGUUCCUGGGGAGAUGAUGAGUGAGAGUUUUGACCAGGAGUGGAUACUGAGGAGAGCAAAGAUCACCUGGUCCUCAUCAAGCCGGACUUCCAGAGGCAAAGCUCCUUAACUGAGGAAUUCAGAAAUGAUCCAGUGCAAGACCCUGAGAAGCCCACAGGAGAAGAAGAAUCCCUAAAGUGAGAGAAACCUGGGCCCUUGAGUGACUGCAUGGAGAAGAGCCCCAUCAUUGACUCAUGUUAGACUG